GUCCACGCCGUAAACGUUGGGCGCUAGGUGUGGGUCCUUCCACGGAUUCCGUGCCGCAGCUAACGCAUUAAGCGCCCCGCCUGGGGAGUACGGCCGCAAGGCUAAAACUCAAAGGAAUUGACGGGGCCCGCACAAGCGGCGGAGCAUGUUGCUUAAUUCGAUGCAACGCGAAGAACCUUACCAAGGUUUGACAUGCAGGGAAAAGCCAUAGAGAUAUGGUGUCCGUAAGGGUCCUGCACAGGUGGUGCAUGGCUGUCGU
rnacentral:rRNA from 1 species